rnacentral:lncRNA from 1 species
UGACCGGCCAUGGGAGGAGUCUUUGGCUCAUAAUUUUGGCUAUUUAUAGCAUCCUUCUCAACCUAUAAAUACCCCCUUAGCUUCUCACUUAAAACACAUCUCAAAACCAUUCAUUCUUCACUUCUCUCUCACUUUUCUCUCUUCAUUGUUCUUCAUUUCCUUCCCCAUUCCCUUGCCGAUUUCACCUCUUGAAAAAAAGUC